rnacentral:rRNA from 1 species
AACGAACGCUGGCGGCAGGCCUAACACAUGCAAGUCGAGCGAGCAUUUCGGUGCUAGCGGCGGACGGGUUAGUAACGCGUGGGAACGUGCCCUUUGCUACGGAAUAGUCCUGGGAAACUGGGGGUAAUACCGUAUGUGCCCUUCGGGGGAAAGAUUUAUCGGCAAAGGAUCGGCCCGCGUUGGAUUAGGUAGUUGGUGGGGUAAUGGCCUACCAAGCCGACGAUCCAUAGCUGGUUUGAGAGGAUGAUCAGCAACACUGGGACUGAGACACGGCCCAGACCCCUACGGGAGGCAGCAGUGGGGAAUCUUAGACAAUGGGCGCAAGCCUGAUCUAGCCAUGCCGCGUGGACGAUGAAGGCCUUAGGGUUGUAAAGUCCUUUCAGCUGGGAAGAUAAUGACGGUACCAGCAGAAGAAGCCCCGGCUAACUCCGUG